CUACGGGUCGCUCCAGUGGGGAAUUUUGGACAAUGGGCGCAAGCCUGAUCCAGCCAUUCCGCGUGAGUGAAGAAGGCCUUCGGGUUGUAAAGCUCUUUCGCAAGGGAAGAAAACUUAUCCUCUAACAUAGGGUGAGGUUGACGGUACCUUGAUAAGAAGCACCGGCUAACUACGUGCCAGCAGCCGCGGUAAUACGUAGGGUGCGAGCGUUAAUCGGAAUUACUGGGCGUAAAGCGUGCGCAGGCUGUUUUGUAAGUCAGAUGUGAAAUCCCCGAGCUCAACUUGGGAACUGCGUUUGAAACUACAAGACUAGAAUAUGUCAGAGGGGGGUAGAAUUCCAUGUGUAGCAGUGAAAUGCGUAGAGAUGUGGAGGAAUACCAAUGGCGAAGGCAGCCCCCUGGGAUAAUAUUGACGCUCAUGCACGAAAGCGUGGGGAGCAAACAGGAUUAGAUACCCCAGUAGUC
rnacentral:rRNA from 1 species